ACUCCUACGGGAGGCAGCAGUGAGGAAUUUUCCACAAUGGGCGAAAGCCUGAUGGAGCAAUGCCGCGUGGAGGAAGAAGGCCCGUGGGUUGUAAACUCCUUUUCUCAGAGAAGAAGAUCUGACGGUAUCUGAGGAAUAAGCGCCGGCUAACCCUGUGCCAGCAGCCGCGGUAAUAC
rnacentral:rRNA from 1 species